CCUACGGGAGGCAGCAGUGGGGAAUUUUGGACAAUGGGCGCAAGCCUGAUCCAGCAAUGCCGCGUGCAGGAUGAAGGCCUUCGGGUUGUAAACUGCUUUUGUACGGAACGAAACGGCUCUUUCUAAUAAAGAGAGCUAAUGACGGUACCGUAAGAAUAAGCACCGGCUAACUACGUGCCAGCAGCCGCGGUAAUACGUAGGGUGCGAGCGUUAAUCGGAAUUACUGGGCGUAAAGCGUGCGCAGGCGGUUAUAUAAGACAGAUGUGAAAUCCCCGGGCUCAACCUGGGACCUGCAUUUGUGACUGUAUAGCUAGAGUACGGUAGAGGGGGAUGGAAUUCCGCGUGUAGCAGUGAAAUGCGUAGAUAUGCGGAGGAACACCGAUGGCGAAGGCAAUCCCCUGGACCUGUACUGACGCUCAUGCACGAAAGCGUGGGGAGCAAACAGGAUUAGAUACCCUGGUAGUCCACGCCCUAAACGAUGUCAACUGGUUGUUGGGUCUUCACUGACUCAGUAACGAAGCUAACGCGUGAAGUUGACCGCCUGGGGAGUCGGCCGCAAGGUUGAAACUUAAGGAAUUGACGGNNGNGNGNGCGAGNGAGAGAGGAG
rnacentral:rRNA from 1 species